rnacentral:rRNA from 1 species
GACUCAGAUUGAACGCUGGCGGCAUGCCUUACACAUGCAUAUCGAACGCCAGCGCGGACUUUGGUCUGGCGGCGAGUGGCGAACGGGUGAGUAAUAUAUCGGAACGUACCCUGUUGUGGGGGAUAACUAGUGGAAAGAUUAGCUAAUACCGCAUACGACCUGAGGGUGAAAGAGGGGGACCGCAAGGCCUCACGCCGCAGGAGCGGCCGAGGUCUGAUUAGCUAGUUGGUGGGGUAAAGGCCCACCAAGGCGACGAUCAGUAGCUGGUCUGAGAGGACGAUCAGCCACACUGGGACUGAGACACGGCCCAGACUCCUACGGGAGGCAGCAGUGGGGAAUUUUGGACAAUGGGGGCAACCCUGAUCCAGCAAUGCCGCGUGUGUGAAGAAGG